rnacentral:lncRNA from 1 species
UCCAACAAAAAAAGUAGCCAAACACCCCAACUCCAAAACUCCAUGGAGCUGCCAACUCCAUGGAGCUGUAGUACAAAUGGGGGUGGAGUUUUGGAGCACCUCUUUUGCUGCUCCAAAACCCCCUCUUUUGAACCUCCUCGUGGAGUUGGUGGGUAAUUACCCACCAUUGCCACUGAUUACACAAAAAUAACGUUUCAUUCUUCUCCCUC